AUGUCUCACGUCGUAGACUUUUCUUUGCAGGCCGACGAAACCCCGUGCACCAUAUUGUACACCAUCGGCGAACAGAAGGUGGACGUGGGGAAGGGGACGAUAAUGGAGCCGAAGGAACCAUUGUUCCACAGCUGGUCGAUCCCCCCGAACGUCUUCAAGGUUUCCGUGGCCAGUGUCAAACCGGGCCACGAGAAUUUGCCUCCUCUAAUACUAGUGGGGGAUGACGACGAGACCCCGCGGUGGCUUGGUGAUUGUUGCAAUGGGUGGGUCCUGUUGUGGCCAAAGAGUCUGCUUCGUCUGGAGGCGGCCGGGAGCACACCCACGAGCACGCAGCCUCAGCAAGGUAUGAACAUCAACACCCCACCUACCCAAUUAGCGUCGGGUGUCGGGUUGGGUGAUAGCGGACGGGAUAAGCAGGUGGCUCCAUUAGUCGCUGAUGACGUCACCAUGGAUGAGGGUGAGGAUGACGAUGGCGCUGAACAGUAUGUCUAUACUGGCGCCUCCUCAGGGUUUGAGCAUCAUGAGUCGGUGCCUGAAUUACCGUCUCAACGUAUUAUUGACGACCAUCCGGUGGUAAAGAAGUCUAGGAAGAGAGCGAGGAAAGGCAAAAAAGCUGAUUCUAUGAUCCAGCCGCCUCAGCAGCCUCGGCUUCAGGACCGUGUAGAUAUCCCCGAUGCGGAUAAAUGGCAUAUCCCCGGUCGACCAAUCCUACCUGAAACAACGCUACGGGCCAGAUUCGGCGAUCUAAGGAGACUUCAUGACGAUGUGCUGCGGGUAGAGAAAGGCCUUAUCGCCUCGAAAGAUUCAGGAUACCCACUCUACGUGGUUAACGUUCCGCGGCAAAUGUCGUACGUCAACGGCUUCCCCGCGGAUAAGUUCUUCCUCCGAUUCGAUUACAUAUUCGACAUGUUUCACGUGAAGAAGCUGGAUUUUACGUUUGUCAGCCUUUAUGCCUUGCACAUGAACUACAUCAUUGGGGUUGAGCAGAUACGUUUUAUCUGUGUCGCUGACCCAUACUACAUGCACGAGGGCUUCUUGGUAGUCUGUGCACAGCAUCGUGAAUACGCGAGGGAUUACAUCGUGAGUUUCAUGCUCGCCAAUAAGGACAAGGAGGCGAUUCUCAUGCCUUAUCAUCCUGUGUAA
rnacentral:rRNA from 1 species